CGGUGGUGGCGGUGAUCGAUCCCGUGAUUCCCCGCGGGGGCCCCGACCCCGUCGAUACCAAUCGAUACUAAUCAAUUAUCAAUAAUCGAGUUGCUGCAUCCGAUUGAUAAAUUAGAAGACGCAGCUUCAUCAUCUCUACUGUUUUCCGAUUAUUUGUUUCCCAGCAGACACAACGUGGACAUAAAUCCACAAGGAACGGGGGCCGUCGUCCUGCGAGCCCAGCCCUGGCCGCUCACGGAAACCCCGUCCUGUCCACUUGUGGUGUCGAUGCUCACUGCUCUUCGGUGAGUGAUGGCGGCCAAGCUUUCCGGGUUCCUGUUUCUGUGUGAAACUGAGUAUUUCUUCCUUCCAGGACGCGAGCGGGAACCGUGAGGAGCAGCACCGAAACCAUGUGAUGAGGAGGAGGCGGAGGAAGUGAACCGUGUGUGUGAGACACAGUUUCGGC